AAGGAUUUAUGUUAAAUAAACAAAUAACCUUCAAAGUUAUAAAUAGAAGUAUAAACCUUCUAAGCCUUA
rnacentral:tRNA from 1 species